AUUGAACGCUGGCGGCAGGCUUAACACAUGCAAGUCGAGCGGGGUGAUGGUGCUUGCACUAUCACUUAGCGGCGGACGGGUGAGUAAUGCUUAGGAAUCUGCCUAUUAGUGGGGGACAACAUCUCGAAAGGGACGCUAAUACCGCAUACGUCCUACGGGAGAAAGCAGGGGAUCACUUGUGACCUUGCGCUAAUAGAGGAGCCUAAGUCGGAUUAGCUAGUGGGUGGGGUAAAGGCCUACCAAGGCGACGAUCUGUAGCGGGUCUGAGAGGAUGAUCCGCCACACUGGGACUGAGACACGGCCCAGACUCCUACGGGAGGCAGCAGUGGGGAAUAUUGGACAAUGGGGGGAACCCUGAUCCAGCCAUGCCGCGUGUGUGAAGAAGGCCUUAUGGUUGUAAAGCACUUUAAGCGAGGAGGAGGCUCUUUUGGUUAAUACCCAAGAUGAGUGGACGUUACUCGCAGAAUAAGCACCGGCUAACUCUGUGCCAGCCGCCGCCGUAA
rnacentral:rRNA from 1 species